CUGGAGUUACAGGCGGUUGUGGAUCCUGGGAUUCGAACUUGGAUCCUCUGCGAGAGCAGUGCUGGCUCCACCACUCCCCAGCCCAGCAGAGUGGACUAGUUAAAGCAACCGAACCAUGGCCUCUGAGUGGACAGGGAUGGGGAACCUCACAGGAUCCUCCACGCAAGGACGGUCACACCCAGGCGACCCCGGAUGACCUGCGACAGACCAUGUUUUCUAAGAACCGUUUUGUUCACUGAUAUAAAAAAAGGAAUUCAUGAUGCUGUACAGAAUUUUUAUUUUUAAACUGUCUUUUAAAUAAUAUAUUCUUAUACAGAAAUGGGUCUGUACUUUUUCUUUGGGUUUUGUACUCGGGCUUCCAAGGACUCUGGUUUUCCCGGGAUGUAUCUUCAAAUGGUUGAACAGUAAUGUGACCCAAGGGUCCAUGUAAAUUCCACAUUAAACAUGAGAAUGGUGCCCGA